CUCAGAAGAAUUUAGAAAGACAAAUAUUAUAUUAUAUACAUAAAAUACUGUACAUCGUUAGACCAUUUGGAUAAUAUUAGGCAUUGGCUAAAUUGCAUAAUUUAUUAUGUAUUAGCACACAUAGAAUAAUUGAUCCAUGUUCUUUUAGUUUAUUUCUGCAAGACUAGAAAAUAUCCACAAUCCAUUCGAUGCAGGCCAUCUCCUGAAGUGUGAUGUCUAUAAUUAAAUCUUAGAGUUAAAGUUCAUGAUAUUGCAGUGAUGUUUUAAAAUUGAUUUAAGAAAAUAUAGAAAUGAAUAUAAGGAGUCCAAGCAACACAGAGACAACACCCAUUCGGAUACUGGUGGCAUCACUAGUCGUUGAGGCAGUCGUGAAUGAUGCUGCAGAUGUUGCCAGGGUUGUAGUUGUAGUUGGCGCUGCGGUUGUUGUUGGGGGUGGGGUUAAAGUUGCCGUUAAGAAUUUAGUUGUUAAUGGGGCAUUAGUAGUAGUUGCAGUUGUUGUUGAGGGAGAAGUUUUUGUCUGGGCAGCAGUUAUUGGGGAUGCAGCAGUUGUGGAUGGGGCUGAAGUCUUUGUCGGGGAUAAAGAUGUUGUCAAGACAGCAAUUGUUGGCGGGUUUGCAGUUGUUGUCAAGGCAUAAGUUGUAGUCGGGGCUGUAGUUGUUGUCGUGCCAGCAGUUGUAGGUGGUGCUGUAGUUGUUUUUGGGGUGGCAGUUGUCGUCUGGGAAGCAGUUGUAGUUGGUGCAGCAGUUGUUGUCGGGGCUGCAGUUGUAGUUGGUGCAGCAGUUGUUGUUGGGGCUGCUGCUGUAGUUGGUGCAGCAGUGGUUGUUGGGGCUGCAGUUCUUGUUGGGGCUGCAGUUGUAGUUGGUGCAGCAGUUGUUGUUGUUGGUGCUGCAGUUGUAGUUGGCGCUGCAGUUGUAGUUGGUGCAGCAGUUGUUGUGGGUGCUACAGUUGUUGUUGGGGCUGCUGUUGUAGUUGGUGCAGUAGUUGUUGUCGGGGCUACAGAUGUAGUUGGUGCAGCAGUUGUUGUUGGUGCUGUAGUUGUAGUUGGUGCAGCAGUUGAAGUUGGCACUGCAGUUGUAGUUGGUGCAGCAGUUGAAGUUGGCGCUGCAGUUGUAGUUGGGUCUGCAGUUGUUUUCUGGCUUGCAGUUGUAGUUGGUGGAGGAGUUGUUUGGGAUGCAGUUGUUGUCGGUGCCACAGAUGUAGUUGGGGCCGCAGUGGUUGUUGGGGCUCCAAUUGUUGUUGUUGGGGCUGUAGUUGUAGUUGGUGCAGCAAUCGUUAUCGGAGCUGCAGUUGUAGUUAUGGGUGCUGUUGUAGUUGGUGCUGCAGUUGUUGUUUGUGCUGCAGUUGUUGUCGGGGCUGCUGUUGUAGUUGAUGCAGCAGUGGUUGUUAGGGCUUCAGUUGUUGUCGGUCGAGCUGUUGUUGUCGGCGCUGCAGUUGUAGUCGGUCGAGCUGUUGUUGUCGGCGCUGCAGUUGUUGUUGGUGCUGCAGUUGUUGUUGGGACUGCAGUUGUAGUUGGUGCAGCAGUGGUUGUUGGGGCUGCAGUUGUUGUCGGGGCUGCAGUUGUAGUUGGUGCAGCAGUUGUUAUGGUGCCAGUGUUACACAAACUGGUCCCACAGCAGGAUGGUCCACUGCUGAUGGUUCCAACGCUUUGCAAGAAAGGAAUGCUACCCAGGCUGGCAGCAGCUGCACACAGGUUUGUAGAUGCACAGCCUAAGGCUGGAGAAUCGCUGGAUCCACUUGUCACUGUACAGCAAAAGUCCAUUUUAAUUACACAACAUCCAUAUCAGUUUGCCACUUAAAAAAUAAGCAGUACAACAAUGCAGAACAUAACUGAAAUACCUGUAAAAAAGGAUAUUUUAAACUUUGCAUUUCUGUUAAAGGUAAUACAGUUAAAAGUACAAUAAUUACCAAUUGAAUGUAGUGAAAUAUUAAUAGAAAGAAACACAUCAUACAUAUAUACUACUUAUGAUCAAGACUUACCACUUGCUUGAAAGCAUUGGUUCUCCUCUCCCCUACACGUUAUUACAGUAUUACAUUGAGAGGUAAAGGGGUCACAACUGAGGCAUCGUAGGCUGUUAUCUGUCUGACUGCCAGGGACUGAAACAGAAAAAGAACAUAAUUAGUUUAAUGUAGAGACAACAUUUCAACUUCACAAAAUUAACCUUGAAAUUAUCAGAAGAUGACAGGAUAUCAAAGUAAUUGUAUUAUCUAUUUCAUAUUUUCUCAUCUUAAAUGAGCUUCUUUUCUAUCUUUACUUACCCGGUAGAGUUUCAGCGUUGCAAUUAUC
ensembl:lncRNA